AUAUCAGUUUAGCAGUUCGUAGCGGUUGGAGCCCUUCUGAAUGUCCGUUUGAGCUCAAAUUUGACAGGCAGUCUCGGUUUACCGUACUGAGUAAGAAUAUAUCUUAAGUUUUCAGUUUCGACCCUAUUGGUCACUGAAAACUGUGCCGAACUCUAAUCUUUAGUAGAUAACUCUCGGAUUUUAUUUCUCACUCUACGGGUGUCAGAAAAAUAUGAAACCUUAAAUCUAGCCUCAUAAAAAUAUUUCUGACUUAUCCUCUAAUUUUCAUAAUUUUCUGAGACUGUGCAUUUUCUGCUAAUUUAUCUGUCCCAUUUCCCACAGAAAAUUCUAAAUCUUCUAUUUUCGUCCUGAUUUCAGCACAGGUCAUUUUCCAUCUAUAUUUCGCUUCUCUAAAUCCAAUAAAAUAGUAUCUCAUACUAUUUUUAUUUAUUUUUAUUUUUAUAUUUAAAUCCGGUAUAUUACAUUACACCACAACCUUACCGGAACCAUUCAAAUGGCUCUCCAACCAAAUGGACACCGUAACCCCAUGAUUUU
rnacentral:lncRNA from 1 species